rnacentral:rRNA from 1 species
GACGAACGCUGGCGGCGUGCUUAACACAUGCAAGUCGAACGGUAAGGCCCUUCGGGGUACACGAGUGGCGAACGGGUGAGUAACACGUGGGUGAUCUGCCCUGCACUUUGGGAUAAGCCUGGGAAACUGGGUCUAAUACCGGAUAGGACCAUUCGCUUCACGGUGUGUGGUGGAAAGCUUUUGCGGUGUGGGAUGGGCCCGCGGCCUAUCAGCUUGUUGGUGGGGUAAUGGCCUACCAAGGCGACGACGGGUAGCCGGCCUGAGAGGGUGACCGGCCACACUGGGACUGAGAUACGGCCCAGACGCCUACGGGAGGCAGCAGUGGGGAAUAUUGCACAAUGGGCGCAAGCCUGAUGCAGCGACGCCGCGUGAGGGAUGACGGCCUUCGGGUUGUAAACCUCUUUCAGUAGGGACGAAGCGCAAGUGACGGUACCUACAGAAGAAGGACCGGCCAACUACGUGCCAGCCGCCGCCGUAA